GAUGAACGCUGGCGGCGUGCCUAAUACAUGCAAGUCGAGCGAACGGACGAGAAGCUUGCUUCUCUGAUGUUAGCGGCGGACGGGUGAGUAACACGUGGAUAACCUACCUAUAAGACUGGGAUAACCUCGGGAAACCGGAGCUAAUACCGGAUGAUAUUUUGAACCGCAUGGUUCAAAAGUGAAAGACGGUCUUGCUGUCACUUAUAGAUGGAUCCGCGCUGCAUUAGCUAGUUGGUAAGGUAACGGCUUACCAAGGCAACGAUGCAUAGCCGACCUGAGAGGGUGAUCGGCCACACUGGAACUGAGACACGGUCCAGACUCCUACGGGAGGCAGCAGUAGGGAAUCUUCCGCAAUGGGCGAAAGCCUGACGGAGCAAAGCCGCGUGAGUGAUGAAGGUCUUCGGAUCGUAAAACUCUGUUAUUAGGGAAGAACAUAUGUGUAAGUAACUGUGCACAUCUUGACGGUACCUAAUCAGAAAGCCACGGCUAACUACGUG
rnacentral:rRNA from 1 species